rnacentral:rRNA from 1 species
GAUGAACGCUGGCGGCGUGCCUAAUACAUGCAAGUCGAGCGAACGGACGAGAAGCUUGCUUCUCUGAUGUUAGCGGCGGACGGGUGAGUAACACGUGGAUAACCUACCUAUAAGACUGGGAUAACUUCGGGAAACCGUAGCUAAUACCGGAUAAUAUUUUGAACCGCAUGGUUCAAAAGUGAAAGCCGGUCUUGCUGUCACUUAUAGAUGGAUCCGCGCUGCAUUAGCUAGUUGGUAAGGUAACGGCUUACCAAGGCAACGAUGCAUAGCCGACCUGAGAGGGUGAUCGGCCACACUGGAACUGAGACACGGUCCAGACUCCUACGGGAGGCAGCAGUAGGGAAUCUUCCGCAAUGGGCGAAAGCCUGACGGAGCAACGCCGCGUGAGUGAUGAAGGUCUUCGGAUCGUAAAACUCUGUUAUUAGGGAAGAACAUAUGUGUAAGUAACUGUGCACAUCUUGACGGUACCUAAUCAGAAAGCCACGGCUAACUACGUG